AUGGCCGUAGACGCCGGCCGCUGCCGCUGGGCGCCUCAAGAGCCUGCUCCAGGCGUCCCAACUCAGCGGUGCCGCGCUCCAGCCGUGCACGCGCCUGACUGCCUGCCUGCCAGCCAGCCUGCCUGCUGCCUGCCUGCCUGCUGCCUGCCUGCCUGCUGCCUGCCUGCCUGCCUGCCUGCCUGCUGCCUGCCUGCCUGCCUGCCUGCCUGCUGCCUGCCUGCCUGCCAGCCUGCCUCCCUGCUUGCCUGCCUGCCUGCCUGCCUGCCUGCCUGCCUGCCUGCCUGCCUGCCUGCCUGCCUGCCUGCCUGCCUGCCUGGCUGCCGCCGCCCUCCGCCGCGGGCCCCGGGCGGGUGGCGGAAGCGGCCCAAGAGGACCCCGGCAAGGCGCUGUGGCGCAAGCCACGGCCUUCGCCGGUCCCGGGACUCUUGCAGGCUGCUCCUGGCUUGGCCCCACGCCCGCCUCCGCUUGCAUCCCGCACCGCAUCGCACCGCACCGCACCGCACCGCACCGCAACCGCACCGCACCGCCACCGCACCGCACCGCACCGCACCACGUCGGGCCGCUCACUGGGAAGAGGGUGGAAGCGAGCGUGGGGCAUCCGGCCGGCCGUGCCUUCUGGGCCCCCCACCCCUCGCCGGGCUCUCAGCGCCUCCUCCCCAGUCUCAGGGCGAGCCCGGCCAGCCCCCGCUCCCCGGCCUUUCCCUCCCGUCCGCCCACCUGAUGCAAGGCCACACCGGAGGCCCCAGCGCCCCCAGAGAACAUCACCAGCCCGGGCCCGCUGCCCUAGCUGGGCCUCGCGCAACGCCGGGGACCCUGGGGAUGAGGGCUCCAGGGAGGGAAGAGGUCCGGGACCCAGGGAGCCCAGGCCUGUGGCGGAAUCUGAGUCUGGGGUCUCGCUGCCCCGCCCGCUCCUGGGUUCUUGUAUCCACCCACCCAGCCCCCACCCUCCAGUCCCCAGGCGCCAGCCCCCGGACCCGCCCUCACCGCACCCCCCCACCCCUUCCGUGCGGGUGCAGUGUCGGGAAAGGUGCAAAGCCGGGGCGUGGCUUCCAGCCGGGGCAGUGGGAUUUAGCCUGGUGCGGGAAGCGGGGAGCGGCGAGCGGACCCCUUGUGAAGUGCCGUGGGGUGUGCGGGCUCGGGGGGCGGGGCGUGGCGGGGCGGGGCCAGGCUAGGCCAGGCCAGGCCGCUGAACCGGCCCGGGAGGGGCUGAGGGAGCAGCGGCCGGGGUGUGUUUGGCCCCCGGAGCCGCGCUCCCCGGGGGGAGAGGGACACACGGAGGGAGGGGGGAGGGGCGGCGGGCGCCAAAGGAGAGGUCAAGGAGGCCAGAGGCAACAGGCCGAAGGCAAAAGGCCAAAGGCAAAAGGCCAAAGGCAAAAGCCUACAGCACCCGGUAUUCCCAGGCGGUCUCCCAUCCAAGUACUAACCAGGCCCGACCCUGCUUAGCUUCCGAGAUCAGACGAGAUCGGGCGCGUUCAGGGUGGUAUGGCCGUAGACGCCGGCCGCUGCCGCUGGGCGCCUCAAGAGCCUGCUCCAGGCGUCCCAACUCAGCGGUGCCGCGCUCCAGCCGUGCACGCGCCUGACUGCCUGCCUGCCUGCCAGCCUGCCUGCCUGCCUGCCUGCCUGCCUGG
rnacentral:lncRNA from 1 species